CUUGGUGAUUCUAGACAAUUUUUGCGGAGCGCAGUGGGUUUUUCCCGGCGCUAGACCGAUCGAGUAUCUGCCCUAUCAACUUGAUUGUAGUGUAUUGGACUACAAUGGUGAUAACGGGUGACGGGGAAUUAGGGUUCGAUUCCGGAGAGGGAGCCUGAGAGAUGGCUACCACUUCCAAGGAAGGCAGCAGGCGCGCAAAUUACCCAAUGCUAAUACGGCGAGGUAGUGACAAUAAAUAACAAUCCUGGUUCCGAAAGGAGCUAGGAAUUGGAAUGAGUACAAUGUAAAUAACUUAACGAGGAACAAUUGGAGGACAAGUCUGGUGCCAGCACCCGCGGUAAUUCCAGCUCCAAUAGCGUAUAUUAAAUUUGUUGCAGUUUAAAAGCUCGUAGUUGGAUUUCUGUAAAGUAUUGAUAUGUCAAUGGCCUUCUAGGCUCAAUGAUGUAUUGAUCUUUUCAUAUUGUUCGAUCGUUAGCUUCUGUCCUUAACUGGAUGGUGGUUGGCGGCGAACCGAUUACCUUGAACAAAUUAGAGUGUUUAAAGCAGGCAAUUCGUUUGCCCUGAAUAUAUUAGCAUGGGAUAAUGGAAUACGAUUCAAUUCCAGUUGGUUGGUUAUUUUUUCUAGAAUUGAAUAAUGAUCAAUAGGGAUUGUCGGGGUCAUUCGUAUUUAGUGGUUAGAGGUGAAAUUCUUAGAUUCACUAAAGACGAACUAGUGCGAAAGCAUUUGACAAGUAUAUUCCCAUUGAUCAAGAACGAAAGUUAAGGGAUCGAAGACGAUCAGAUACCGUCGUAGUCUUAACUAUAAACUAUACGAGUUAAGGAUCGGCAGUCGUUAAUCGUACGACACUGUCGGCACUUGAAGGGAAACCGUUAAACAUUUGCGUUCUGGGGGGAGUAUGGUCGCAAGGCUGAAACUUAAAGGAAUUGACGGAAGAGCACACCAGGAGUGGAGCCUGCGGCUUAAUUUGACCCAACACGGGAAAACUUACAAGGUCCAAACAUGGUGAGGAUUGACAGAUUGAUAGUUCUUUCUUAAUUUCUAUGGGUGGUGGUGCAUGGUCGUUCUUAGUUGGUGGAGUGAUUUGUCUGGUUAAUUCCGAUAACGAACGAGACCGCUUCUUGUUAACUAGUAAUUAGAAACUUCUAAACAGGUGAAGAAGAUUGGCUUGAUCAGUUGGGGUAAAACUCAGUCUGGUUGACUGGUCUUUGGAUCCUUGAUGAUUUCUAAUUAAUAACUUCUUAAAGGGACUGUCGGUGAUUAACCGAAGGAAGUGCGGCAAUAACAGGUCUGUGAUGCCCUUAGAUGUCCUUGGCUGCACGCGCGCUACACUGCCUGGUGCAACGAGCUGAUUAUCUUACUGGUCCGAAAGGAUUGGUUAAUCUUUUGAAAACUUGGCGUGAUGGGGAUUGAUCAUUGUAAUUAUUGUUCAUGAACGAGGAAUUCCUAGUAAUUGCAAGUCAUCAACUUGCGAUGACUACGUCCCUGCUCUUUGUACACACCGCCCGUCGCUCCUACCGAUUGAACGCUUAGAUGAAAUCUACGGAUUGGGUACAUCUUAACGGGUGUAUUCGAGAAGUUGAGUUAAUCUAAGCGUUUAGAGGAAGGAGAAGUCGUAACAAGGUU
rnacentral:rRNA from 1 species